rnacentral:rRNA from 1 species
UACAGAGGUCUCAAGCGUUGUUCGGAUUCAUUGGGCGUAAAGGGUGCGUAGGUGGCAGGGUAAGUCGGAUGUGAAAUCCCGGGGCUCGACCUCGGAACUGCAUUCGAUACUGCUUUGCUUGAGUACUGGAGAGGAGAUUGGAAUUUACGGUGUAGCAGUGAAAUGCGUAGAUAUCGUAAGGAAGACCAGUGGCGAAGGCGGAUCUCUGGACAGUUACUGACACUGAGGCACGAAGGCCAGGGGAGCAAACGGG